CGUAGGGGGCGAGCGUUGUCCGGAUUUAUUGGGCGUAAAGAGCUCGUAGGCGGUUCGAUAAGUCGGACGUGAAAUCUCCACGCUCAACGUGGAGGGGCCGUUCGAUACUGUCGUGACUCGAGUCCGGUAGGGGAGUGUGGAAUUCCCGGUGUAGCGGUGAAAUGCGCAGAGAUCGGGAGGAACACCCGUAGCGAAGGCGGCACUCUGGGCCGGUACUGAUGCUGAGGAGCGAAAGCGUGGGGAGCAAACAGGAUUAGAUACCCUGGUAGUCCACGCCGUAAACGUUGGGCACUAGGUGUGGGACUCUAUCGACGGGUUCCGUGCCGUAGCUAACGCAUUAAGUGCCCCGCCUGGGGAGUACGGCCGCAAGGCUA
rnacentral:rRNA from 1 species